GAUGAACGCUAGCGGCAGGCCUAACACAUGCAAGUCGAGGGGUAACAUAGGAAAGCUUGCUUUUCUGAUGACGACCGGCGCACGGGUGCGUAACGCGUAUACAACCUACCUUUUAGCGGGGAAUAGCCCAGGGAAACUUGGAUUAAUGCCCCAUAGUAUAUAGACUUCUCCUGAAGUUUAUAUUAAACAUUUAUGGCUAUUAGAUGGGUAUGCGUCCUAUUAGUUAGUUGGUAAGGUAACGGCUUACCAAGGCAGCGAUAGGUAGGGGUCCUGAGAGGGAGAUCCCCACACUGGUACUGAGGCACGGACCAGACUCCUACGGGAGGCAGCAGUGAGGAAUAUUGGACAAUGGGCGAGAGCCUGAUCCAGCCAUGCCGCGUGCAGGAAGACUGCCCUAUGGGUUGUAAACUGCUUUUACAGAGGAAGAACCACCCCCACGUGUGGGGGGUUUGACGGUACUCUGCGAAUAAGGAUCGGCUAACUCCGUG
rnacentral:rRNA from 1 species